GAUGAACGCUGGCGGCGUGCCUAAUACAUGCAAGUCGAGCGAAUGGAUUAAGAGCUUGCUCUUAUGAAGUUAGCGGCGGACGGGUGAGUAACACGUGGGUAACCUGCCCAUAAGACUGGGAUAACUCCGGGAAACCGGGGCUAAUACCGGAUAACAUUUUGAACCGCAUGGUUCGAAAUUGAAAGGCGGCUUCGGCUGUCACUUAUGGAUGGACCCGCGUCGCAUUAGCUAGUUGGUGAGGUAACGGCUCACCAAGGCAACGAUGCGUAGCCGGCCGGAAGGGGUGAUCGGCCACACUGGGACUGAGACACGGCCGAGACUCCGACGGGAGGCAGCAGUAGGGAAUCUUCCGCAAUGGACGGAAGUCUGACGGAGCAACGCCGCGUGAGUGAUGAAGGCUUUCGGGUCGUAAAACUCUGUUGUUAGGGAAGAACAAGUGCUAGUUGAAUAAGCUGGCACCUUGACGGUACCUAACCAGAAAGCCACGGCUAACUACGUGCCAGCCGCCGCCGUAA
rnacentral:rRNA from 1 species